GACGAACGCUGGCGGCGUGCCUAAUACAUGCAAGUUGAGCGCUGAAGGUUGGUACUUGUACCAACUGGAUGAGCAGCGGACGGGUGAGUAACGCGUGGGGAAUCUGCCUUUGAGCGGGGGACAACAUUUGGAAACGAAUGCUAAUACCGCAUAAAAACUUUAAACACAAGUUUUAAGUUUGAAAGAUGCAAUUGCAUCACUCAAAGAUGAUCCCGCGUUGUAUUAGCUAGUUGGUGAGGUAAAGGCUCACCAAGGCGAUGAUACAUAGCCGACCUGAGAGGGUGAUCGGCCACAUUGGGACUGAGAAACGGCCCAAACUCCUACGGGAGGCAGCAGUAGGGAAUCUUCGGCAAUGGACGAAAGUCUUGCCGAGCAACGCCGCGUGAGUGAAGAAGGUUUUCGGAUCGUAAAACUCUGUUGGUAGAGAAGAACGUUGGUGAGAGUGGAAAGCUCAUCAAGUGACGGUAACUACCCAGAAAGGGACGGCUAACUACGUG
rnacentral:rRNA from 1 species